CGGCCUCGCAACGCUACAGCCAAUCGGCAGUUGGUUGGGAACGGAGAUAAGCACCGCCCAACAUGUCAAUACGGAGACGUGGUUGGUCAGUACGUUCGGACCCUGGGACCGAAAAAUCCCCCGUCCUUUUAAAGCCCAGCCCUCCAGAAUUCUCAGAACCGAUUCAUAUUCCGUGACAUAAACAUGUUGUCCGUCAGGGCUCUCCUCCCCGUCCAAACGCACCGAGGCAGACACCAUAACAUCGUUACACCUCACCACAUGUUCAUAGCCGGGAUCUCCUCCGCAUCGGAGCACUCUCACUUAUUCUAAGAGCUUUUAUUUUUCUACAGAUAUUUUAAUGUUGUACAAUAGAUUGCAGGUAGACAUUUGGACUAUUUCACCCGGGCCUCGUCACGGACUUAUUAGAGGAGACCGACCCGAGGUUCCCAAGGCCAGAGGAAUUCGGCCCGAAGAGAACUGCUGGAAUGUUCCAUUCCUUCCCCAAACAUCUCCCCGCCGUUCUGCCAUCUGCUGGAUCAAGGCUCGGUUGCUUUAAUAAACACACGGACGGCACGUUCUGAUGCCAGUACGGCGACUUAUUUACCGAUCCACACACACAAGCUGCUGCGAUGUUUACACAUGUCCGUUAAGACGGGGAGUAUGAAACCGGUUCCCGGGUUAAGUGAUUCAGGAGAAUGUUGCUCAGCAUCUCAGGUGUUGAGAGGGUAAUGUGUCUCUUAGGCCUGAUGAGUCAAUAUUCCGCACGGGGAAGGCAAUUCAGACCGCAAACAAGAGGGUCAUAUUUCUUUGCUGGUCUAUAGCAUAGAUCAACAGAUGAAUUAUGUUAAACGUAGGUGAGAUGUUACGCACUCGUCUGUUGUGAUACGUUUUUAAAAUUUGCAAACGGCGACACUUUUACGCACGCUCGCUAGCGCGCAAAUCUCUCUCUCCCACCGCUGUCUGCCUCUCUCUCUCUCACCCCCACUUCCCAUUUUGUCCGUCUCCCUUUCUCUCUCUCCCUCCGCUCUGUCCCUCUUUCUUUCUCUCUCUUUCUCACGCAAGCACACGCACCCACACACACACACACACACACACACACACACACAC
ensembl:lncRNA